CCUACGGGUGGCAGCAGUGAGGAAUAUUGGUCAAUGGGCGCGAGCCUGAACCAGCCAAGUAGCGUGAAGGAUGACUGCCCUAUGGGUUGUAAACUUCUUUUAUAAGGGAAUAAAGUGUGGCACGUGUGCCAUUUUGUAUGUACCUUAUGAAUAAGGAUCGGCUAACUCCGUGCCAGCAGCCGCGGUAAUACGGAGGAUCCGAGCGUUAUCCGGAUUUAUUGGGUUUAAAGGGAGCGUAGGUGGACUGUUAAGUCAGUUGUGAAAGUUUGCGGCUCAACCGUAAAAUUGCAGUUGAUACUGGCAGGCUUGAGUACAGUUGAGGUAGGCGGAAUUCGUGGUGUAGCGGUGAAAUGCUUAGAUAUCACGAAGAACUCCGAUUGCGAAGGCAGCUUACUAAACUGCGACUGACACUGAUGCUCGAAAGUGUGGGUAUCAAACAGGAUUAGAUACCCCAGUAGUC
rnacentral:rRNA from 1 species